UCUCAGCGCUGAGUCACCAAAGUAAUCCACCAGUGAGCGCUGAGAAAGCAGCUAUUGUCACGUUGAGCCACUGUCACUCCAGGUGGACAAGGACAGCGAGAAACUGUGCGGACUCCCACCCAGGAGUUGAUUCAACAACAGACCAGGAUCAGAGGCUGCAGGUACCAAAACCAAGGAGCGCUUUCCUUUGGGGUGAGUAGAGGGAAAGUUAGCUGUUUUAAAUGUCAGAACGGUUAUGGGAUAAUAGGAAUAUUGUUGGCUAGGUACAACAAAGAGUUUCCAUAUUUGGACCAACUCCAGUUGAUGAGAACU
rnacentral:lncRNA from 1 species